AGAGUUUGAUCCUGGCUCAGGACGAACGCUGGCGGCGUGCUUAACACAUGCAAGUCGAACGAAGCUUGAUUACGGAUUCUUCGGAUGAAGUAUGAUAUGACUGAGUGGCGGACGGGUGAGUAACGCGUGAGUAACCUGCCCUUCAGAGGGGGAUAGCGUUUGGAAACGAACGGUAAUACCGCAUAAUGUAUUUUGACCGCAUGAUCGAAAUACCAAAGAUUUAUCGCUGAAGGAUGGACUCGCGUCUGAUUAGGUAGUUGGUGGGGUAACGGCCUACCAAGCCGACGAUCAGUAGCCGGACUGAGAGGUUGAUCGGCCACAUUGGGACUGAGACACGGCCCAGACUCCUACGGGAGGCAGCAGUGGGGAAUAUUGCACAAUGGGGGAAACCCUGAUGCAGCAACGCCGCGUGAAGGAAGACGGUUUUCGGAUUGUAAACUUCUGUUCUUAGUGAAGAAUAAUGACGGUAGCUAAGGAGCAAGCCACGGCUAACUACGUGCCAGCAGCCGCGGUAAUACGUAGGUGGCAAGCGUUGUCCGGAAUUACUGGGUGUAAAGGGAGCGCAGGCGGGUGAUCAAGUCAGCUGUGAAAACUACGGGCUUAACCCGUAGACUGCAGUUGAAACUGUUCAUCUUGAGUGAAGUAGAGGUUGGCGGAAUUCCUAGUGUAGCGGUGAAAUGCGUAGAUAUUCGGAGGAACACCGGUGGCGAAGGCGGCCAACUGGGCUUUAACUGACGCUGAGGCUCGAAAGUGUGGGGAGCAAACAGGAUUAGAUACCCUGGUAGUCCACACUGUAAACGAUGAUUGCUAGGUGUGGGGGGUCUGACCCCUUCCGUGCCGGAGCUAACGCAAUAAGC
rnacentral:rRNA from 1 species